UUGUUGUUGGUCAAAAGGACAUAAAAUUAGCGUCAAUUUGGCUCCCCUUGUGAUUUCCGAUUUCCAAGUACAAUCUUUAUGAUAAUGUUGCCCUUGAAUAUGGACACGUGUCAUUACCCCGCUGAUGAGUGUCACUAAUUUCUUACUAUAAUCACACGAGCUUAUAACUCACCCCCACUAGAGACAUUGCUGCCGGACCUUGUUAGAAAAGGUCAUCACAAAGUUAACCGCGCAUAAUUUUUCAUAAUUGAACUAAAACACUUGAAUAAAUUAAAAAAACAAUUCACGAAAUUUUAUAUGAGAUCACAAAUUAAUUUACCGAUUUUUAUAAUUAAAAAAUGAGUAAUGAUACAGCCACAAAUUCUUGUACAAACUUAUUUUGUACAAACUGACGUGGCAUUAAUUCAUUGGUUGAAUGAAAAUAUAAAUUAAU
rnacentral:lncRNA from 1 species